GGACCUAUCAUUUGGUAUCAGAGCCUCAGUGGCUCAUUUCAGUUUUCGGUUUGGUCGGGUCUUUACCUGAAAUCCGCCGGAGACGUAAAACACAUGCAGAUUUGUUUCAGGGAGUGUAGAUGUGUGGCGGCUAGGGUUUUCACCGCCAGUGAUGAAUCUGAGGUGACUAGUGGUAAAACUGAUGGUGGUUCUUUCUUCCAGCAAUAUAAGAUUUGGUGUUUUUAUUCUUCACUGAUGAUAAUUCAGAUCCGGCAAUUUUAUGAGAGAGAAACAAAGAAAGAACACAUAAAGGUUUUGUAGAGAUAGAGGUGAUCUGAGAAGAGGUCGUCGGUGAUAUUAGUGAGCUCGCCAGAUUCCGAUCGUGAUUUCAAUGGGUCGACUUGAUAUAAAUCAUGUUCUUCAUUCGGGAGCCAUCGAUGUUCUUUGGUUUGAUUCAGAAACCCAGUUUGUUUACUGGUGUGUUUUUUCAGUGGGUUGCGACUAUGAUGAUGGUUUGUCGUUCCGGUGGUGCUUCCGGCGACUCGGUUAGUUGGCAGCAGGUGUAGGAUG